AGAGAGAGAGAGAGAGAGAAAGCUAUUUUAAUUCUGCAAUUAAGGAAAAACUUAUUCAAAUUCUACAACUGGGGGAAAAACUAAGUUAGAACAGUAUGCAUGUUAAUAAAUAGUAUUUAUGGCCUGUAUUUAUAUUUUAUUUUUAUUUUUUUUACAUGUAUAGUGAAUUUAUGUGAGCUUGUCUCUUGGAUUUCAAAAAGCAUUGGUACUAGAAUUCUAAAUUUUGUUUAUUAACAUAGUAGUUGUCUUACAUAGGAUUAAUUUUCUUAUUUUGCUUAUUUUGUGCCUCACCUUUCUCAGACACACAUGCACCUUGUGUCUUCAAUAACUAUGACUGGAAUUUAAAUAUACAAUACAAAUAUUAAGAAAGGAAUGCUACAAGCGCAAAGAAACUA
rnacentral:misc_RNA from 1 species